rnacentral:rRNA from 1 species
UGCAGUCGACGAUGAAGCCCUUCGGGGUGGAUUAGUGGCGAACGGGUGAGUAACACGUGGGCAAUCUGCCCUUCACUCUGGGACAAGCCCUGGAAACGGGGUCUAAUACCGGAUAAUACUCCUGCCUGCAUGGGUGGGGGUUGAAAGCUCCGGCGGUGAAGGAUGAGCCCGCGGCCUAUCAGCUUGUUGGUGGGGUAAUGGCCCACCAAGGCGACGACGGGUAGCCGGCCUGAGAGGGCGACCGGCCACACUGGGACUGAGACACGGCCCAGACUCCUACGGGAGGCAGCAGUGGGGAAUAUUGCACAAUGGGCGAAAGCCUGAUGCAGCGACGCCGCGUGAGGGAUGACGGCCUUCGGGUUGUAAACCUCUUUCAGCAGGGAAGAAGCGAAAGUGACGGUACCUGCAGAAGAAGCGCCGGCUAACUACGUGCCAGCAGCCGCGGUAAUACGUAGGGCGCAAGCGUUGUCCGGAAUUAUUGGGCGUAAAGAGCUCGUAGGCGGCUUGUCACGUCGGAUGUGAAAGCCCGAGGCUUAACCUCGGGUCUGCAUUCGAUACGGGCUAGCUAGAGUGUGGUAGGGGAGAUCGGAAUUCCUGGUGUAGCGGUGAAAUGCGCAGAUAUCAGGAGGAACACCGGUGGCGAAGGCGGAUCUCUGGGCCAUUACUGACGCUGAGGAGCGAAAGCGUGGGGAGCGAACAGGAUUAGAUACCCUGGUAGUCCACGCCGUAAACGUUGGGAACUAGGUGUUGGCGACAUUCCACGUCGUCAGUGCCGCAGCUA